rnacentral:rRNA from 1 species
GCGGCGAACGGGUGAGUAACACGUGAGUAAUCUGCCCUCCACUUCGGGAUAAGCCUCGGAAACGGGGUCUAAUACCGAAUAUGACCACUUCAUGCAUGUGAUGGUGGUGGAAAGUUUUUCGGUGGGGGAUGUGCUCGCGGCCUAUCAGCUUGUUGGUGGGGUAAUGGCCUACCAAGGCUUCGACGGGUAGCCGGCCUGAGAGGGUGACCGGCCACACUGGGACUGAGACACGGCCCAGACUCC